CCAACGAUCCAGAUGACCUGAGGGCAGCCAUCAAACCAACCUGGGCAGAGCUACAGGCUGAUGGACUCUAUGCCACGGAGCGUUGAUGCAGUAAUUCAUGCAAGACGAGCCCCAACCAAGUGCUGAGAGCAUAGAGGUGGACAGACCUUUAAGAAGCCUGACAUUUGUGCUUGAAACUACUGUUUUUGAGGAGCUGAGUUGCUUUAAGCCAAUUUCCUGUUAUUCAGGGUGACUCCAGCACCUCACGCAGAAAUUAUCAGCAUCUGCGGAAUCCGGAUUGCCUGAUUUGAGAGCCCCCGACACGGGCAGGUGGGCCUGGACGCAGGUGACCCAGCGGCACAGAGGGCACGAGACGGUGUAGAGGGGCCCCUUGUGAAUGCU